rnacentral:rRNA from 1 species
CUACGGGGCGCUGCAGUGGGGAAUAUUGCACAAUGGGGGAAACCCUGAUGCAGCAACGCCGCGUGGAGGAUGACGCAUUUCGGUGUGUAAACUCCUUUUAUAUAGGAAGAUAAUGACGGUACUAUAUGAAUAAGCACCGGCUAACUCCGUGCCAGCGGCCGCGGUAAUACGGAGGGUGCAAGCGUUACUCGGAAUCACUGGGCGUAAAGCGCGCGCAGGCGGCCUUUUAAGUUGGAUGUGAAAGCCUAUGGCUUAACCAUAGAACUGCAUCCAAAACUAUCAGGCUAGAGUCUGGGAGGGGAAGAUGGAAUUAGUUGUGUAGGGGUAAAAUCCGUAGAGAUAACUAGGAAUACCAAAAGCGAAGGCGAUCUUCUGGAACAGUACUGACGCUGAGGCGCGAAAGCGUGGGGAGCAAACAGGAUUAGAUACCCUUGUAGUC